rnacentral:sRNA from 1 species
CAUAAGAAAGCCAAAACCUGGUUUUAUGAUUGCAGUCCUCAGCACUUCAACAAAAAUGUCACCUUUAGCAGGGGAGAAAUAUUCAUCGUGUUGUUAUUAAUUACUAAAUGCUCUAGUGAAGUUUGAGUGGAUGAAGUUGCACAUACAGGUCUAAACUAGCUUGAAAAGAAUAGAAGCUGGUUCUACAUGAACUGUCUUACAUACAGUGCUUCAGUCUUUCAGAGAAAUCUGCAACAUCUAUCAUUUGUUUCUAGGGCCACUGCCGCCUGGGCAACAGAGUGAGACUCUGUCUCA